GAACGCACCUUGCGCUCCUUGGUAUUCCGAGGAGCAUGCCUGUUUGAGUGUCAUUAAAUUCUCAACCCCACUAGCUUUUGUGAGCUAUGCUGGGGCUUGGAUGUUGGGAGUUUGCGGGCCUUUACUAGGUCGGCUCUCCUGAAAUACAUUAGCGGAACCGUUUGCAGUCCCGUCACUAGUGUGAUAAUUAUCUACACUGUGAUGACUGCUCUCUGACUAGUUCAGCUGCUAAUCGUCCACUGUGGACAAUCAUUAAUGAACUUCUUGACCUCAAAUCAGGUAGGACUACCCGCUGAACUUAAG
rnacentral:misc_RNA from 1 species